GCCGUGGUAUCCUAGUGGUAAUGGCAGCGAACUCGGAUUUCGUUGAGUCCAAGGUUCGAGCCUUGAUGCCACGAAA